UACGAAGGGGGCUAGCGUUGCUCGGAAUCACUGGGCGUAAAGGGCGCGUAGGCGGAUCUUUAAGUCAGGGGUGAAAGCCUGAGGCUCAACCUCAGAAUUGCCUUUGAUACUGAAGAUCUUGAGUCCGGAAGAGGUAAGUGGAACUGCGAGUGUAGAGGUGAAAUUCGUAGAUAUUCGCAAGAACACCAGUGGCGAAGGCGGCUUACUGGUCCGGUUCUGACGCUGAGGCGCGAAAGCGUGGGGAGCAAACAGG
rnacentral:rRNA from 1 species